UACGUAGGGUGCGAGCGUUGUCCGGAAUCACUGGGCGUAAAGCGCACGUAGGCGGAUCUUUAAGUCAGGGGUGAAAUCCUGGAGCUCAACUCCAGAACUGCCUUUGAUACUGGGGAUCUCGAGUCCGGGAGAGGUGAGUGGAACUCCGAGUGUAGAGGUGAAAUUCGUAAAUAUUCGGAAGAACACCAGUGGCGAAGGCGGCUCACUGGCCCGGUACUGACGCUGAGGUGCGAAAGCGUGGGGAGCAAACAGG
rnacentral:rRNA from 1 species